ACUCCUACCUCCUCCCCCUCAAAGCCGCCACACCCACCAUUCCCCUCUUCCGCCUCCUCCUUCCCGGAUCCGUACUACCGCAACACCCACUCGUCUCCUCCUCUCUCUCUUCUAGCUUCCUCCUCCUUCAUGAUCUCUGCGUCGGCCGCAGCGUGAGAGGAGCAGCGGCGACGAUGUCAAGUUGCGAAGCGGUGGCGCUUGGGCGCGAGGCGGCAGAAGCAGCUACCCCGGGCCCCGGUUUGGGGGUUCGGUUCCAUAGCGCCGACGGCUUCUCCGUCUACAACACCGGGGCCAGCUAGUGUUCGUCGUGACCACAGCCGACCACCUCUCGUCGCUAGGGUCCAUGACGGCGGCCGGGUCAGGCUUAAGCGGAACUGCAGGAGGCCAUGAAGGCCACGGCGGCUGCUGGUGGAAGCAGCGGGUUUUGAAGGAGCGGUAGAUGUGGGUCCGCGGUUGGGGAAGACUCGCCGGCUGGGCGACGGCGAGCGCCGGUGAUGGCAACGAAAGGAAGCCAGGCGUCGGGGUACCGCAACAAUUCGGGUGCCUGCGGCAUGACAGCAUUGCAGAAGCAUGCAGCGUUCUUCGACGGCGACAAGGACGCGGUUUUUUUCCAUUCAAUUUUUUUGGUUCCAUGUUAUCUGUAUCUUGGUGAAUGUACAACGCUAAUGUUCAGUUCAUUGUCUCAGUGUUUUUUGGCGGAGGUGUGUUCUUGUCUUGCGAGGUUCAUCCACCGUCGACGACACCUGCAACUCGUUUGGUAUAUUUGGUUAAUCAUAACCAGCAAAGAGGAGGAGUCGCAUACGUGCCUGGUAUUCUUUGUGUUGUAUGAAGUGUUCCUUCAACUAAUCAAGCAAUCUGACAUUAGUACUUUGUUUGAGCCACCGCCGAACGCUCAGCGAUGGGUUGAGUUGGUUGAGGUGUAGGUGGAGCAUUUGCUCGCCGAGGAUGGCACGUGCGCGAGCUGAAGUACGACGCCGGCCAACUUCGGCCUCUGAGGCUUCCCUGACGCGCUCCUCUACCACUACCUCCUCAACAACAAGGUGAGCAUCCCACUCUCCAUUUUUCCUGAGAACUUCCAAUGACUAUUCAAAAAAUCAUCCAAGAGAGAGGCAGUAGCAGCAGACCAAAGCUAAGGAAGAUCAAUUCCUUUUUGUUAUUGGCUUUUAACCUCUUGUUCCAUGUGAUUGUGGCUUAGGGCAACUCUGAUGGCAGCCAGUUGGAGUUUGCUAUGUUACAUAUGCAAGUCCUUUUGAAAUCUGAAACUUCUGUGUGGUGAUGAGUUUCUGCUCAUCUUGAUUGAUUCAUCUCCAGUGAACGGGGACUCGUCCUUCCGUGGUGCUCAGCCACAAACCGAUUUGGAGGGGAAAUAGGAGAGCCUGACGAAUAUGAGCAUAAUAUCUAUGCAUAUUUUGAGUUUUUUAAGCCUAGUACUCUCUAUUUUUCAAUCUUAAAAUAGCAUGCCACAAGUUAAAAUACAGAAAUUAAGUCACUGACCCAGUCUGUACAUAAUAUCAAUGCAUAUUUUGAGUUUUUUUUAGAAUCUAUAUGCGCAAAUACUCAAUUUGGCACUUCCCAUACAGGCAAAAGUGCUACCUUAAAUUUGUAGCUCUGAUAAAAAAAUAAUUUCAAACGUAUCUGAUGGUAAAAAAGAUAAUGACGGGAAAACUACACACCAUUCAUCCAAGUGAAAGUCAGAGUUUCUCUUCUGAAGAGUACUUACUAUAUAGAACCACAUCUUUGUCAGGUUUAUUCUGUAUAACUGGGAAUACAUGUUUCAGGAGCCUAUUGUUUCUGUUGAUCGCAGUUACUAUCUUGUGUAGGUUGCAAUAUCUGCCAGCUUUGUAUUCUUUUUGUCAAUUCUGUGUUGGUAGGUUGGUCCAUACGGUAAAGCUUAAAACUUCUGAAAUAGACAUCUAUGGAUAUGGACAUGCUAAACAUUUUCAGGAAUGUAAGAAGGCAGUAGUCUCUUGAAAAGUCAUUUGAUCUCGCAAGAGAGAAGCUUCCUGGAACAUUUAAUUAUUUUUCUGUUGUGUUAUUGAUUUCACCAGUUUUAUGUCAGCCGAUUAAUUCUGAAGGAUUCUAAACUUCCUGAUAUAUGUAUUUAGAGCAUUUGCUGAGAUUUGAUGCAAAAUACUCAUGGCCAGGCAUUAUACUGUGCAUAAGCACAAUUUUUCAGUUUUUCUUUUUCUUGUUGCGGCAGUUUUUCUACAGCAAUAGCCAAUAGUGUGACAUCACACUACUCCAUUUUCACAGGCCAUGGAACAAUAAAUAUCUUGGCAAGGGAUACCCUAUGGUCUACUGUUAUAACUAUGUGUGCACUUUGGAUCUUUUGGAUGUCUUGUUUAGCAUCCUUUUUGACAGAGUUGAUUAAUUUAAUAGUGAAAUAGUUGGUUAUGUCAGAUGUGUAAUACUGGUUGUGGUAUCUCACAUUUGUCAAAUAUUCAUAUGUUGCUGGUAGUCAUGCUUAUGCCUAGGAUAUUAAGUAACCUUGUGCUAUGCUGUGACUAAAUAAAAGCAAUGUUUAGACUUAUCUUUUGUUUUCUCUACUUAAAGAGUCCCGUGUUUUGCAGGGUCUAACCAGGAAGGAUUGUGGGUUCAUAAUUUCAUGCCAAGACCCUAAAAGCAUUUUUGUCUCUUGCUUCGACUAUCAUAUCUAUUUUCUCUGUAAAUUCUAGACCUGCAGUUCAGAUUAUGAUCUUUGUAUGCCCUUUUUUUGUACCUUCUGAAGUAGGCUAACAUUACAAAAAAGAGCCACAUGUUUUAGAAAUUGAAUUAUGUGGUCACCAUGACAGCUUUUCAAGUUAUGGUUCUUUAGCCAUUUAAUGCAGUAUUGAUGGUGUAGUGUGCUUCAUGAAAUGAAAUAUAGUGCAUAGUUCGUCAGUUUUGAGACUUACCCACAUCUUUUUGCUACUCCUUUUGCCCUGCACCAUAUUUUCUUACAUGUAUUGCUUCACCCGUCACCAUAGAGGUCUUACCUCACCAGGACCAUGGAGCCGCUAGGAGUACGAUCAAUAUAUGAUCAUUCUUAGAGUUGAAAUUCUAAUUUUCACAUUUAAUCAAUUCCUUCAUCAAGUGAGUCAUAGUAAACCACUAAACAUGAAUCUUAUGUGUAUAUAUUACUUCUUCAUUUGCCACUUAUUUUGUUCAAAAUAUUUUUAUGAUAUUUCUAAAAAAGCUUAAGGUUAGAGAUGCGGGGCUAUUGUAGGAUGGAACAUAAAUUAAUGUUAAAAUAUUUUUUGAAUUUCCUUUAUAAACUACAAUACAAGAUAUGUUUGGGCCACACGAUUCUAUUCCAAAAAUUUAAACAACUAGGCAAUUGACGACACAUCAAAUGUUAUGUAUUGAUAUAGGUCAUAAUGGUUUUAUUCUAUGACAAGCUUAAUUUGCUUAUAAUGUAACCAUUUCAAGGAUUGACGAGUUUUUAAGCCAUAUGACCUUUGCACACUCAAGUUACACGUUGUAAAUGGCUCAUGUCUUGCACUGUUUUCGCUUUCCAAGCUACAGUCUUUUGAUAUACUCCUUCUAUAAACUAAUAUAAGACCAUUUAGAUCACUAAGUUUAGCAACCUUAAUGGUUUUAUAUUAGUUUACAGAGGGAGUACUUGAAAGGACAUUCUUUAUAUGUUGUUUGAUUCUAUCAGCCGUACAACCUAAAUUAAAAAGUAGGGAUCUACGCAGUGUAGUGGAACCAUUGUGCUUGCUGCAGUUUUAUUAUAGUGUUGAAAUGUUUUACUUAGUUUAUUCUGUACUUAAAAAUAUAUUUUUCCAGCCAUUGUUUUCUAAAUGUUUUCCUUAGUUUUAUUAUACCUGAUAUGGCCUUUGAAUAUGCUGAUAUGGCCUUUGAAGUUUCUGUUCUAUAACAAGCUUUGCACUGGUCUACUUGAGCAUGGUAUGGUUCAUUCUUUUUUGUUGCAGCUAUUCCAGAGAAGUUUAGAGCUCCACAACCUUAUGAAGACUUGAGUAGCAGAGAUGAAACAAUCAAUUAGAUGAGAUGCAUCACAUGAUUUUUUUUUCUCUUGACGUUGAUGGGUAUUGAACCUAUAGAUCAACUUAUCAAUGGAACCCUUAUCAGUGUUGAGAAUAUGGCACAAAAACUCAAACACAGGACGAUCAGCCGAGGGAAGAAGCUAAGAAGCAUCAGGAAGGACUUUUAGGAUGGUAUUGCGGUCAAAUGCAUCCUAGGAUAGGUCUUUAAGAAUUAUGGUGUGUUUCACUCCUUUUUUGUUUACCUUGCCACAUUUGUUAGCCUCAAUUUGUUAUUAUCCUUCUAAACAGGUGCAGAACUAAAACUUACCUAGGUUGUGAGAGCUGAUGGUGAUUUGAUUGAAAGAUCUGCUUGCAUUGUU